UGGAAUGGCAGAAAGGAAAAAAACCCAAACAUGGCUGGCCAGUCUACAGGGCAUCUGUCAAGUUUGUCAGCAGUAACCGGUUUCAGACAAGUGCAAAAAUUAGAGAAUACUUGUCAGUCAACAAAGAUGAGCCUCUACCUCCGAAGAGGCCUUCUGUGCCACCAUCUAGAUAUUCAGAAUCAGACUCUGAAACGGAUAUAGAGGAUCUACCACGGACACAAAGUAAAAGGCCAGCAACUACAAGAUCACAGAAUGUAGCCAAAAAAGUUGUGGAUAAAUAUCAAGUCAGCCUAACACAAUCUCAGA